rnacentral:rRNA from 1 species
GACGGGGGCCCGCACAAGCGGCGGAGCAUGUGGAUUAAUUCGAUGCAACGCGAAGAACCUUACCUGGGUUUGACAUACACCGGAAAACCGUAGAGAUACGGUCCCCCUUGUGGUCGGUGUACAGGUGGUGCAUGGCUGUCGUCAGCUCGUGUCGUGAGAUGUUGGGUUAAGUCCCGCAACGAGCGCAACCCUUGUCUUAUGUUGCCAGCGCGUUAUGGCGGGGACUCGUAAGAGACUGCCGGGGUCAACUCGGAGGAAGGUGGGGACGACGUCAAGUCAUCAUGCCCCUUAUGUCCAGGGCUUCACACAUGCUACAAUGGCCAGUACAGAGGGCUGCGAGACCGUGAGGUGGAGCGAAUCCCUUAAAGCUGGUCUCAGUUCGGAUCGGGGUCUGCAACUCGACCCCGUGAAGUCGGAGUCGCUAGUAAUCGCAGAUCAGCAA